GCUGCUCCGUGCCCGUCCACCGAACGGUCGGCAGGCGAUCCGCGUCGGUCAAGCGAGGUGGUAUGGUUCCCCAGAGGCCGGUUCUUGUGCUGCCUACCCCUUCAGGGGAAGCGGGCCACUUGAUGUAAGCCUCCAUCCGGCGCCCUCCAACGGGCGCAGGAGGACAACGGAGCACCCCCCGCGUUCCACCGAGCCUCAGCCGGUCGCGUGGCGCGCGGGGACGUGCGAUGCUCUCGGACCCAGCGAACGCCGUGGGCGAGGACUCACGUCCCAGUCCCUACAGAAGCUCCGAUAUAAUGCAUGACGGCCGCUCCCGACCCCCGACCGCCCCGGCGGCGCGGGGGCGAGGCGCGGCGUCGCGGAGGAAUGC
rnacentral:misc_RNA from 1 species